AGCGAACGCUGGCGGCAGGCCUAACGCAUGCAAGUCGAACGGGCUCUUCGGAGCUAGUGGCGGACGGGUGAGUAACACGUGGGAACGUGCCUUUAGGUUCGGAAUAAGCCCGGGAAACUGGGUCUCAUACCGAAUGUGCCCUUCGGGGGAACGAGUUUAUCGCCGUUAGAGCGGCACGCGUCUGAUUAGCUAGUUGGUGAGGUAAUGGCUCACCAAGGCGACGAUCAGUAGCCGGUCUGAGAGGAUGACCAGCCACAUUGGGACUGAGACACGGCCCAAACUCCUACGGGAGGCAGCAGUGGGGAAUCUUGCGCAAUGGGCGAAAGCCUGACGCAGCCAUGCCGCGUGGAUGAUGAAGGUCUUAGGAUUGUAAAAUCCUUUCACCGGUGAAGAUAAUGACUGUAGCCGGAGAAGAAGCCCCGGCUAACUUCGUGCCAGCAGCCGCAGUAA
rnacentral:rRNA from 1 species